UACAGAGGCCUCAAGCGUUGUUCGGAAUUACUGGGCGUAAAGGGAAUGUAGGUGGUUGUGUAAGUCAGAUGUGAAAGCCCCGGGCUCAACCUGGGAACUGCAUUUGAAACUGGCGGGCUUGAGUGCGGCAGAGGGGGGUGGAAUUCCGCGUGUAGCAGUGAAAUGCGUAGAGAUGCGGAGGAACACCGAUGGCGAAGGCAGCCCCCUGGGCCGACACUGACGCUCAGGCACGAAAGCGUGGGGAGCAAACAGG
rnacentral:rRNA from 1 species